GUGCCCGCAUUGUCGUUUCUGUGUUCGUCGCCUUCUCGUGAACCUCCCUUUUGCUGUUGUGAUUUCUGCAAUUAAAUCCAUGAGUCUUUACACACACACACACACACUCAAUCUUCUAUAUAUAAUUCCUAGUUAAACUUUUAUAUGCAAGAUAAAAACCAAGCCCAGAAAAGGCCAAUUCAGAAUCAGUUUAGAGAUGCUCACAGAAGAUCCAUUGUACAGCGACAGUAACCUCCUCCCCUGCAGGCCUGUCAAGAUUUACAGGCGGGUGAUCAGUAUAUAUUUAGGCCGGCACUGGCUAAACAGCUCAUGUGCUGGAAGACUCUGUUCAGACCUCGGAGACCAUGUCACAUGAUAAUGUCACCGGCACCCACCCCCACCUCUAAACCACCUCAAUUCGGUGGUUGCAAACAGACUGUGGCCCAAUCAUCCCACCCACUCUCUAUUAUCUCUUCUGCGGUCUCUAACUAGCGAGGCACAUCUAUCAUGCUGCGGUUUCAAAU
rnacentral:lncRNA from 1 species